rnacentral:rRNA from 1 species
GGGUCAGUAGGUUGGUCGUGCCACCGGUACGUACUGGUCUCACUGAUUCCUCCUUCCUGAAGAACCGUAAUGCCAUUAAUUUGGUGUUGCGGGGAAACAGGACUGUUACUUUUAAAAAAUUAGAGUGUUUAAAGCAAGCUAACGCUUGAAUACAUUAGCAUGGAAUAAUGAAAUAGGACGUUCGAUCCUAUUUUGUUGGUUUCUAGUAUUGACGUA